UCCAUCCAUCCAUCCAUCCAUCCAUUCAUUCAUUCAUUCAUUCAUUCAUUCAUUAGAUUUCUAAACGGCUUUUCCAGAGCUGAGGGCAGUUUACAGUACAGUAAAAAUCACAACAAUAUGAAAUUAAAAACCAAUACUGAUUCCAAUAUUACAGUAUUCAGCACUGUGAAUCAGAAGCAUCAACUUGGCCAGCAGUUACAUGGAGGGUAACACACCAAACCAGUGGCCUCAAUCUGGAGGAACGCCUGUCAAACGAGUUCUGUUAUGCAGGCCCUGCAGAAUUGAGAUAAGUCUGACAGUGCAUGGAUUUCCCCAGGCGGAGCAUUUCACCAGGAAGGAGCUGCCACCAAAAGUAAUCUAAAUAUGAUGUAAGACGGACAGACUUUACAGGGUCCGGGCAACCUCAAAAAACUGCCUGAUGGUGUAGCAACUAUAGGGGAAUGUAUGGGAGGAGAUGGCCCCUCAGAUAAAUUGGGCCCAGGCCAUAUAGGGCUUUAACAGUAAUAACUAACAUAUUGAAUCUCACUUGGAUCACAAUUGGCAACCAGUGCAACUGUUUCAAUAGGGGCAGAGAGUGGGUGUCCCAUGGGUACCCUGUGGGGACACUUGCAGAAGCAUGAUGCAGUUUCUGUAAUGAUUUCAAGGGUAUCCCCACAUAGAGUGGAUUACAAUAAUUCAAUGUGGGAGUGACCAUGGCAUGAAUUACUAUAGCAUGGUCCGUCUGAAAGAGAAAUGGGGAUAAUUGACAGGCAUGGCAAAGAUGAAGAAAGCUGAUUGUACCAUCACUGACACCUGCCCAAAGCCAUACCCAUCAAUGUAAGCUGGACACUGUCCAGAGUCAGGUGCAAAGGUCCCUCGGAAGUCCCAGGUUGGCCCAGUGACAUAACCUCCAUCUUAGAUGGUUUUAACUUCAGCCAAAGAAGACUCUGCAGAAGAAGGCAAUGGCAAAUCACUUCUGAUGCUCACUGGCCUUGAAUUCAUCUUACUGGGGUCACCAUGGUCCCUUCCGCACAUGCAGAAUAAUGCACUUUCAAUCCACUUUCAAUGCACUUUGCAGCUGUGCAAAAUAGCAAAAUCCACUUGCAAACAGUUGUGAAAGUGGAUUGAACGUGCAUUAUUCUGCAUGUGUGGAAGGGACCCAUGAGUCAACUGAGACUUGAUGGCACUUUUCACACAGGAUAAUACAAAAAAUACAAUAAUAGAAUAAUAAACACAUAACCAUGAUCAUUAAAAUAUAGAGAUGCUUAAAGAAUUUUUUGCAUGUAGGAUGUUAGCUUUAUUGUAUGUUGUGUCUGUUUCUUCCUCUGUGGGUCCCUAAACUAUAAGCAUCUUUUCAUCAGAUCAUGGAUCAGAUGUUGGUUUAUAACCAUCAGAUGCUCAUGAUAAAAUGCAUUCUCAUCCUUCCUAUUUCCCAUCCUACUUUUAGCAUCAUAUCCCUGGAAUGUGUUUUGUGACUUAUGAUAAACCUUGUAGGAUAUAUGUGAAACAAAAAUAGCAAAGAAAUUGUAAUAGUGGCUGAUAGAGACAUGCUGCGCUUUCAAAAUAUGUGGACAAUUUCUGAAAUACUGUAAGGGUGUAAUUUUAUUUUCCCCCCUGUUCUCUGAAUGCUAAAAAGACACUCUUUGCUUCAGGUCCUGGAUAUAGGUCACGACGCCAACGUCCGAGCGGACAAAGAUUCCAGUUUGCCUCUCGAUGGCCCAGAUAACUUUCUACCUGAAUGGAAUUAACCAGAAAAAGUAGAAGACAGCAAAAUGUUUUGAUAACGUAUGAUAACAAAUCAUCAGAAUUAUUUGACUUCUUUGUACUGCAAUAAAAACACAGCAACUGUUCUGAGAUUAAAA